UACGUAGGGUGCGAGCGUUAAUCGGAAUUACUGGGCGUAAAGCGUGCGCAGGCGGUUUUGUAAGCCAGAUGUUAAAGCCCCGGGCUCAACCUGGGAAUGGCAUUUGGGACUGCAAGGCUGGAGUUUGGCAGAGGAGACUGGAAUUCCCGGUGUAGCAGUGAAAUGUGUAGAUAUCGGGAGGAAUACCGAUGGCGAAGGCAGGUCUCUGGGCUAUAACUGACGCUCAUGCACGAAAGCGUGGGGAGCAAACAGG
rnacentral:rRNA from 1 species